GUUAUUCUCGUCGUUGGUCUAAGAUAGAUAGGACACACGAAUAACAGGCUGUGUAAAGAUUACUAUCAUAUAGAAAAUAAUUAAUAUCAUAGAAAAAAGAGUUGCUAAUUAAAAAGUGUUUAUUUUAUACCGAUAAUAUCAGGCACAAAAGAUAUUGUUUAUAUAGCAAGAAAUAGUCAACUGUGAAACGGAUAAAGUAAAGUAAUAACUUUUACAUCUGGUUGAAGUGACUGAACAUUAUCGGAGCAUAUAAUAUAUCGGAAUAUAUUAUUCCAUAAAGUUUUGAAAUUUGUGUGUUUAAUUGUAAGAUUGAGAUAAUCAAGUAUAAAAAAUGAGCGAUAUAAUGACAGAGGAUGAAUUUUUGACAACAAAGGAGAAGGAAACCCAAACUUAUGAAAAGCCACCGUCAAAACUGCAAGUAAUGCAAUCUGUACAACCUUAUCAGUAUAGUAUAAAUUAUUGCCAAACGUUUUAUUCGUGAAGCAAGUUUACAUAUACCUGGGAAAU